rnacentral:rRNA from 1 species
CCUACGGGUGGCAGCAGUGAGGAAUAUUGGUCAAUGGGCGCGAGCCUGAACCAGCCAAGUAGCGUGAAGGAUGACUGCCCUCCGGGUUGUAAACUUCUUUUGUCAAGGAAUAAAGUGAGGCACGUGUGCCUUUUUGUAUGUACUUUAUGAAUAAGGAUCGGCUAACUCCGUGCCAGCAGCCGCGGUAAUACGGAGGAUCCGAGCGUUAUCCGGAUUUAUUUGGUUUAAAGGGAGAGUAGAUGGGUUUUUAAGUCCGUUGUGAAAGUUUGAGGCUCAACCGUAAAAUUGCAAUUGAUACUGGCAGUCUUGAGUACAGUAGAGGUAGGCGGAAUUCGGGGUGUAGCGGUGAAAUGCUUAGAUAUCACGAAGAACUCCGAUUGCGAAGGCAGCUUACUAAACUGCCACUGACACUGAUGAUCGAAAGUGUGGGUAUCAAACAGGAUUAGAUACCCCUGUAGUC